CCCACUCUGUGAACCAAACGUCCCCCCCUUGGGUGUAGGCUUGCCUGUCCCUUGGGCACCGGUCCCCUGGCUGGGGUCUUCGGACCGCAGUUCAGGUCCGGUGGGUGCCUCUCUGGCGGUUGGGGCUUUGCCUCUCCGCCAGUUGGUGGCACUGGAAAUUUUAUCCAACCCAAUCCACCCCAAACUUUAAACAACUCUGAAGCUAAAGUGUGCGCGCUCCGGUGCCUCACUCUAACCAAAGACAACUCUCAACAACGGAUAUCUUGGCUCCCGUAUCGAUGAAGAACGCAGCGAAAUGCGAUACGUAGUGUGAAUUGCAGAAUUCCGUGAACCAUCGAAUCUUUGAACGCAAAUUGCGCCCGAGGCUUCGGCUAAGGGCAUGUCUGCCUCAGCGUCGGCUUACCCCCUCGCAUUCCUCACCCUUGGGUGAUCGAAUGCGGAUCUGGCCUUCCCGGCUCUGCACCGAUUUAAUCGAUGCAUCCGGGUCGGCUGAAGUGUAGAGGCUUGAGCAUGGACCCCGUUUGUAGGGCAAUAGCUUGGUAGGUAGCAUCCGCUACAACGCCUGCUGUUGUCCGAGGGGACUUUGCUGGCGGCCUUGCAGUAAUUCGGUACCGGUUACGACCGCCCGAAUGCUUUCUCACUUUCGACCUGAGCUCA
rnacentral:misc_RNA from 1 species